rnacentral:rRNA from 1 species
UACGAAGGGGCUAGCGUUGCUCGGAAUUACUGGGCGUAAAGGGUGCGUAGGCGGGUCUUUAAGUCAGAGGUGAAAUCCUGGAGCUCAACUCCAGAACUGCCUUUGAUACUGAGGAUCUUGAGUUCGGGAGAGGUGAGUGGAACUGCGAGUGUAGAGGUGAAAUUCGUAGAUAUUCGCAAGAACACCAGUGGCGAAGGCGGCUCACUGGCCCGAUACUGACGCUGAGGCACGAAAGCGUGGGGAGCAAACAGG